rnacentral:rRNA from 1 species
GUAAAGCGCGAGUAGGCGGUUUUGUAAGUCUGAUGUGAAAGCCCACGGCUCAACCGUGGAGGGUCAUUGGAAACUGGAAAACUUGAGUGCAGAAGAGGAAAGUGGAAUUCCAUGUGUAGCGGUGAAAUGCGCAGAGAUAUGGAGGAACAACAGUGGCGAAGACGGCUUACUGGUCUGCAACUGACGCUGAUGUGCGAAAGCGUGGGGAUCAAACAGGAUUAGAUACCCUGGUAGUCCACGCCGUAAACGAUGAGUGCUAAGUGUUAGGGGGUUUCCGCCCCUUAGAGCUGCAG